AUCCAGCUGAUCAGUCCCACAUGGGACGAAACCCACGUCAUGGAU
rfam:Schistosoma curassoni strain Dakar, Senegal genome assembly, scaffold: SCTD_contig0018259